rnacentral:misc_RNA from 1 species
ACAAACUUGGUCAUUUAGAGGAAGUAAAAGUCGUAACAAGGUCUCCGUUGGUGAACCAGCGGAGGGAUCAUUACAGGGUCUCGCGACUCUCAAACCCAACCGUGCUCUAAAAUUUACUUGCUGCUGCGGCAGGCCGCUCGCUGGGGGAGCUCCUAGGCCUGUUUACAGGUGGUCUGCCAAAGCAACCCAACCAAUUCUUUUUCAAAAAGUCACAAAAACUUUCUUGAAUCAAUUACAACCCAUAACAAUGGAUCUCUUGGCUCUGGCAUCGAUGAAGAACGCAGC